CCCCCCCGGACGGAAGCUGCAGGCCAGCCUCACUCUCGGACCUGGCGCCCCACCCCAGCACCGGCUCCCGGCUUCGAGCAUAGUAGCUUAGCAUUUCACAUUCAGCGCUUUAACCUCCAUCGCCCGCAAUAGACAAGUUCUGUAGCAGGACGAGGACACCCUGUGAUACUAGCAUUCCGCUCCCGGACUGAACCCAUCCGUACAAAGUCUAGAACUUCGAAUCCGGUCUCGCCUUUGUCGGACCCAGCCGCUCAGAAUUUGAAUUGCUAAGUGGAAAACACACGAUGAUCUCUUUAUUUUAUAAGAUUUAGUUUAUAUUUUUAUACGUUUAUCCGAUUCAUGUGCCUAUACAUUAAUAAAUUUUUCGAAAUACUCGCUGAAA